rnacentral:lncRNA from 11 species
AAAUCUUGCAGUGUGCUUACAGCCAGCUAACAGAAGCUUAUGCAAAUAUUCCAGCUGGCAAAUUGAAAACCUGUCAUGAGUGUCUAAUGAAGAAGGAAAAAACAGAGAAGAAUUAAUUUGUUAAGAAUAAUUUCAUCAAGCAGCAAAUGCCAAGGUUUGUCAAAUUGUAUUCUGAAUUUGAUUAUUUCCUGGAAAAAAGUGCCAGUUUGUAACGGGGGAUGGUUUUCAAACAUCCUAAGUAAAGAUAUGAACUACAUGCCAAUUAUUCUUAGGAAGCUCAGAGCAAGCAAAGUUGGCCAUACAUUACCUUGUGAUUUCAGCCAUCAUAGGACUGCCAUUUUCCAGGAGAGCCCAUUCCAUGUCUUCCUCCCUCCGGGUAUUAUCUCCAAAGUUGUAGCUAUGGGGAGGGGCAAUAUGAGAGCCUUGCUUCUGCAGCUGCUGAUACCAUCUGGCUUGGCUCUCGCUGUGUCUUAUCGUGGACCUGGUUUGGAUGACUGCACCCUCUUCAGACUUUGGAUUGAAUUUGACCUGGCUUCUGUCUACGCUCCCUGACUGAUGACUACUCCCGGCUUCUGACUUCUGGAAUUUGCUGCUGCCUCUCGACCUGACCUUGGAUUCUCCUGACGACGGCUAUUCAUCAUCCCUUUGAAGCUUCGGCUUUAUCUGCACCGUGGAAGCAGUUUACUGCUCUUCUAGUUUGUUUGUUUUUAAGCCAGUUUGCUGUUUUUCUUUUGGGAACUGUCCCUUUAACACCGCAGAGCCGGCUGUCUGUUUUCAGAAACGGUUUGAAAAUAAAAUAAGCUUUUGCACUUUCUGUUAUACUCUGCAGCUUUUGGAAGGUUGCAAGCCUUCGUUUAUUUUGCAUGUUAUCUUGCAGUCAACUCUAUUUGUUUCUCCAAAGCUGAAUUGAAGCGUCCUUAGUUUUUAUUGAAUGCCAGCAUGGGAAAAUAGCAUGGCUUGUUUUUGUGUUAUUUUUUACUUAUCUUCAG